rnacentral:rRNA from 1 species
CCUACGGGGGGCUGCAGUGGGGAAUAUUGGACAAUGGGGGCAACCCUGAUCCAGCCAUGCCGCGUGUGUGAAGAAGGCCCUCGGGUUGUAAAGCACUUUCAGUGAGGAAGAACGCCUGGUGGUUAAUACCCAUCAGGAAAGACAUCACUCACAGAAGAAGCACCGGCUAACUCCGUGCCAGCAGCCGCGGUAAUACGGAGGGUGCGAGCGUUAAUCGGAAUUACUGGGCGUAAAGCGCGCGUAGGUGGCUUGAUAAGCCGGUUGUGAAAGCCCCGGGCUCAACCUGGGAACGGCAUCCGGAACUGUCAAGCUAGAGUGCAGGAGAGGAAGGUAGAAUUCCCGGUGUAGCGGUGAAAUGCGUAGAGAUCAGGAGGAAUACCAGUGGCGAAGGCGGCCUUCUGGACUGACACUGACACUGAGGUGCGAAAGCGUGGGUAGCAAACAGGAUUAGAUACCCGAGUAGUC